rnacentral:rRNA from 1 species
UACGAGGGGGGCAAGCGUUGUUCGGAAUUAUUGGGCGUAAAGGGCGCGUAGGCGGUGCGGUAAGUCACCUGUGAAAACUCUGGGCUCAACCCAGGAAGUGCAUUCGAAACUAGCAGACUUGAAUAUGGAAGAGGGUCGCGGAAUUCCCGGUGUAGAGGUGAAAUUCGUAGAUAUCGGGAGGAACACCAGUGGCGAAGGCGGCGACCUGGGCCAAUAUUGACGCUGAGGUGCGAAAGCGUGGGGAGCAAACAGG